rnacentral:rRNA from 1 species
AUACAUGCAAGUUGAGCGCUGAAGGUUGGCUCUUGUACCGACUGGAUGAGCAGCGAACGGGUGAGUAACGCGUGGGGAAUCUGCCUUUGAGCGGGGGACAACAUUUGGAAACGAAUGCUAAUACCGCAUAAAAACUUUAAACACAAGUUUUAAGUUUGAAAGAUGCAAUUGCAUCACUCAAAGAUGAUCCCGCGUUGUAUUAGCUAGUUGGUGAGGUAAAGGCUCACCAAGGCGAUGAUACAUAGCCGACCUGAGAGGGUGAUCGGCCACAUUGGGACUGAGACACGGCCCAAACUCCUACGGGAGGCAGCAGUAGGGAAUCUUCGGCAAUGGACGAAAGUCUGACCGAGCAACGCCGCGUGAGUGAAGAAGGUUUUCGGAUCGUAAAACUCUGUUGGUAGAGAAGAACGUUGGUGAGAGUGGAAAGCUCAUCAAGUGACGGUAACUACCCAGAAAGGGACGGCUAACUACGUGCCAGCAGCCGCGGUAAUACGUAGGUCCCGAGCGUUGUCCGGAUUUAUUGGGCGUAAAGCGAGCGCAGGUGGUUUAUUAAGUCUGGUGUAAAAGGCAGUGGCUCAACCAUUGUAUGCAUUGGAAACUGGUAGACUUGAGUGCAGGAGAGGAGAGUGGAAUUCCAUGUGUAGCGGUGAAAUGCGUAGAUAUAUGGAGGAACACCGGUGGCGAAAGCGGCUCUCUGGCCUGUAACUGACACUGAGGCUCGAAAGCGUGGGGAGCAAACAGGAUUAGAUACCCUGGUAGUCCACGCCGUAAACGAUGAGUGCUAGAUGUAGGGAGCUAUAAGUUCUCUGUAUCGCAGCUAACGCAAUAAGCACUCCGCCUGGGGAGUACGACCGCAAGGUUGAAACUCAAAGGAAUUGACGGGGGCCCGCACAAGCGGUGGAGCACGUGGUUUAAUUCGAAGCAACGCGAAGAACCUUACCAGGUCUUGACAUACUCGUGCUAUUCCUAGAGAUAGGAAGUUCCUUCGGGACACGGGAUACAGGUGGUGCAUGGUUGUCGUCAGCUCGUGUCGUGAGAUGUUGGGUUAAGUCCCGCAACGAGCGCAACCCCUAUUGUUAGUUGCCAUCAUUAAGUUGGGCACUCUAACGAGACUGCCGGUGAUAAACCGGAGGAAGGUGGGGAUGACGUCAAAUCAUCAUGCCCCUUAUGACCUGGGCUACACACGUGCUACAAUGGAUGGUACAACGAGUCGCGAGACAGUGAUGUUUAGCUAAUCUCUUAAAACCAUUCUCAGUUCGGAUUGUAGGCUGCAACUCGCCUACAUGAAGUCGGAAUCGCUAGUAAUCGCGGAUCAGCACGCCGCGGUGAAUACGUUCCCGGGCCUUGUACACACCGCCCGUCACACCACGGGAGUUGGGAGUACCCGAAGUAGGUUGCCUAACCGCAAGGAGGGCGCUUCCUAAGGUAAGACCGAUGACUGGGGUG